rnacentral:rRNA from 1 species
GCUGGCGGCAGGCCUAACACAUGCAAGUCGAGCGGUAGAGAGAAGCUUGCUUCUCUUGAGAGCGGCGGACGGGUGAGUAAAGCCUAGGAAUCUGCCUGGUAGUGGGGGAUAACGUUCGGAAACGGACGCUAAUACCGCAUACGUCCUACGGGAGAAAGCAGGGGACCUUCGGGCCUUGCGCUAUCAGAUGAGCCUAGGUCGGAUUAGCUAGUUGGUGAGGUAAUGGCUCACCAAGGCGACGAUCCGUAACUGGUCUGAGAGGAUGAUCAGUCACACUGGAACUGAGACACGGUCCAGACUCCUACGGGAGGCAGCAGUGGGGAAUAUUGGACAAUGGGCGAAAGCCUGAUCCAGCCAUGCCGCGUGUGUGAAGAAGGUCUUCGGAUUGUAAAGCACUUUAAGUUGGGAGGAAGGGCAUUAACCUAAUACGUUAGUGUUUUGACGUUACCGACAGAAUAAGCACCGGCUAACUCUGUGCCAGCAGCCGCGGUAAUACAGAGGGUGCAAGCGUUAAUCGGAAUUACUGGGCGUAAAGCGCGCGUAGGUGGUUUGUUAAGUUGGAUGUGAAAUCCCCGGGCUCAACCUGGGAACUGCAUUCAAAACUGACUGACUAGAGUGUGGUAGAGGGUGGUGGAAUUUCCUGUGUAGCGGUGAAAUGCGUAGAUAUAGGAAGGAACACCAGUGGCGAAAGGCGACCACCUUGGACCAACACUGACACUGAGUGCGAAAGCGUGGGGAGCAAACAGGAUUAGAUACCCUGGUAGUCCACGCCGUAAACGAUGUCAACUAGCCGUUGGGAGCCUUGAGCUCUUAGUGGCGCAGCUAACG